rnacentral:rRNA from 1 species
UACAGAGGGUGCAAGCGUUGUUCGGAAUUAUUGGGCAUAAAGCGCGUGUAGGCGGUCUGUUAUGUCGGGUGUGAAAGCCCUCAGCUCAACUGAGGAAGUGCGCCCGAAACUGGCAGACUUGAGUGCCGGAGAGGAUAGCGGAACACCCGGUGUAGAGGUGAAAUUCGUAGAUAUCGGGAGGAACACCUGUGGCGAAAGCGGCUCACUGGACCAUAACUGACGCUGAUGCACGAAAGCUGGGGGAGCAAACAGG